rnacentral:rRNA from 1 species
GAGACAGCAGUCGCCACGGUAAUACGGAGGGGGCUAGCGUUGUUCGGAAUUACUGGGCGUAAGGCGCACGUAGGCGGCUUUACAAGUCAGAGGUGAAAGCCUGGUGCUCAACACCAGAAUUGCCUUUGAGACUGUAUCGCUUGAACGUCGGAGAGGUGAGUGGAACUGCGAGUGUAGAGGUGAAAUUCGUAGAUAUUCGCAAGAACACCAGUGGCGAAGGCGGCUCACUGGCCCGGUACUGACGCUGAGGCGCGAAAGCGUGGGAGCAAACAGGAUUAGAUACCCCCGUAGUCCCUGUCUCUUAUACC